rnacentral:lncRNA from 1 species
AUGUGGGCUUUCAGUGUUGAGUCCUUUGUGCCAGAGCUUCCCACUGCACUUCAGACCAGGCUAUGGGAAACGUGUCUCAUGGAGGAAAACAAAACUCUGUUUCCCUUCCUGUUCCUGCUGACUCUCAGCACCAUCACACCAUGUUCUUCCUGCACAGCUGGCAUGAGAACAAUGCCAGUACAGGCCAGUGCUAAAAGACCAGAUCCAUUAAGAACUGAAAAGAACUUGGAAACUGUGGUGAUGGACACUGUAUACACAGAAAGUGGCUUCAGAUGGCUUUUGGAUGUGUUGGCCCCAUUUGUGGACAAGGAGAAAGCCCAUGAUAUAGCUAGAUACAGGAGAAGUCUCGUUUUGACAUCAAACCAAUCCUUGUCAUCCUGAGUGGGGCUGUUCAGGGAAAAAUGGUUCUUUGACUUCCCUCACAAUAUAACAUCAUGUCAAAAAUAGACUUGAGAUCCUGUUAUUUAUAUUAGUGAAGUACCGAAUGGCCUUGCCUGAGAACAGACUGUUCCAGCAUUAACUGGAGUGCUAUGUUUCAAUGGGAGAUGAUCUGUGCCAUGAAGAACUGACACGCAAAGUAAACAAGAAGGACAAGGAGUCUUCUGACAGCUGGAGCAUCCCAACACCACCAGCUGGAAGUGGUUAAGUACAAGUGGCAAAUCUAAGCCAUUUUCCAAAUGUAGUCUGUUUACUCAUCUUUCCUCUUCAUCUUUCCUCUCUGGUAGCUGGGAUGGGCCUGGGAUGUGUUCCUGGGGACAAGAGGUGAAAAUUCCUGCUUUAAUAUAGUGUUUGUGCUUAUAAACAAGCUUAUUAAGGAAGCAGAUGCAAAAAUGCGCCAGGACUUGUGUUGUAACUCGGCAGAAGAUGAGCUGACCAGGAAUGGGGAUAACUAAAUUUAUUCAUUCAGUGGGUGGACAUUCCUCUCUAGUAAACCACAAUGACAGAUCCAUCAUAAAAACUGGGCUAUUAAAUUUCUGAUUAGCAAACAUAAACUGAAACACCUCCUGGAUGUCUGGAAUGAGGCACUUGUUCAGGGUCAGGCUGGCCCACCUUUCAGAGCCACUGCUGGAGUUAUUUUUUGCAGGAAUGGCUAGUGAGGCUAGUCCUCUAGGUCCAAAGCUCAGGGGGGAAACUUAAUACUAUUUUUAUUUGGAAAAAAAAAGAAGGUAGCUGAAAAUGUGCAGUUUUUCCUCCUAAGCUUUGGAGUAAGUUUCAAUACUUUGUUAUGCCUCUUUGUGAGGGUGUGCACACACCUAGCGCUGAGUAGUCUAUAGCUGUAUUAUGUUGUUUUGUUUUUUAUUUUUCAGUGGAUUACAGGGAAAAUACUGACUGAAAUUUGGGCUGCAUCCUUGUGUAGAGUGAAAGACAAGGUGAUGCUUCUUUAGCAGCUGUUGC